rnacentral:rRNA from 1 species
UACCGAGGUCUCAAGCGUUGUUCGGAUUCAUUGGGCGUAAAGGGUGUGUAGGCGGUUGCUUAAGUUUGGUGUGAAAUCUCCCGGCUUAACUGGGAGGGUGCGCCGAAUACUGAGUGACUAGAGUGCGGGAGAGGAGAGUGGAAUUCCUGGUGUAGCGGUGAAAUGCGUAGAUAUCAGGAGGAACACCGGUGGUGUAGACGGCUCUCUGGACCGUAACUGACGCUGAGACACGAAGGCGUGGGUAGCAAACAGG